CAUUGUGCGUUCGCAGCUGAGCCAUUUGAAUUGAGGCUCAGGCUGGAACGACAGCACAGCUGUACAGUGGGACAAGGGAGGUCUCGUGGGUUUUGUAUGUCUCAACCUGAUUUGGCAAGGCUUUCAUCUGGAGAACUGCCACGAGACUUAGAAGAUCAGCAGCCAGAUCACUGAACAGCGUGGAAUAGGGAUAAAAGACUGAAGGAAUAUGCUGCAUCUUGAACCCUCCACACAGAUAAUGAAACAGUGACUGUGCAGAAUGACAGGGGAGAGGGAACUAGCUCCAGUGCAAAACUCAAAGACUCACAGGGCAAUGCAGCCUUCCCCUAGAGGAUGACAAGGAGACAAUGAGCCUGGGACUGAGAAAAAAAGGCAUUGAAAUCUCUGCCUCGUGUCAGUCAUCUACUGUCACUGUGCUGACAGGGCUGAGAUUACUGGAGAGAAUCUGCUCUGGAUCACAGUGAAGAGUGUAAGAUCUCUUGAGAAAUCAGGGGCGUUCAUUUCACUUCUUCACAUAUGUGUGAAGAA